rnacentral:rRNA from 1 species
UGGGGAAUAUUGCACAAUGGGCGCAAGCCUGAUGCAGCAACGCCGCGUGAGGGACGACGGCCUUCGGGUUGUAAACCUCUUUUGGCAGGGAAGAAGCGAAAGUGACGGUACCUGCAGAAAAAGCACCGGCUAACUACGUGCCAGCAGCCGCGGUGAUACGUAGGGUGCAAGCGUUGUCCGGAAUUAUUGGGCGUAAAGAGCUCGUAGGCGGUUUGUCGCGUCUGCUGUGAAAACCCGAGGCUCAACCUCGGGCCUGCAGUGGGUACGGGCAAACUAGAGUGCGGUAGGGNAGAUUGGAAUUCCUGGUGUAGCGGUGGAAUGCGCAGAUAUCAGGAGGAACACCGAUGGCGAAGGCAGAUCUCUGGGCCGUAACUGACGCUGAGGAGCGAAAGCAUGGGGAGCGAACA